rnacentral:rRNA from 1 species
GACGAACGCUGGCUGCGUGCUUAACACAUGCAAGUCGAACGCUGAAGCCGACAGCUUGCUGUUGGUGGAUGAGUGGCGAACGGGUGAGUAACACGUGAGUAACCUGCCCCUGAUUUCGGGAUAAGCCUGGGAAACCGGGUCUAAUACCGGAUACGACCAAUCCUCGCAUGAGGGUUGGUGGAAAGUUUUUCGAUCGGGGAUGGGCUCGCGGCCUAUCAGCUUGUUGGUGGGGUAAUGGCCUACCAAGGCGACGACGGGUAGCCGGCCUGAGAGGGCGACCGGCCACACUGGGACUGAGACACGGCCCAGACUCCUACGGGAGGCAGCAGUGGGGAAUAUUGCACAAUGGGGGAAACCCUGAUGCAGCGACGCAGCGUGCGGGAUGACGGCCUUCGGGUUGUAAACCGCUUUCAGCAGGGAAGAAGCGAAAGUGACGGUACCUGCAGAAGAAGUACCGGCUAACUACGUGCCAGCAGCCGCCGUAAAAC